rnacentral:lncRNA from 1 species
GCCAGGGCGGGCAAGGGAUUGAAGAGCAAAUGAGGCAAGUGACCAACCAGUACACAGGAUCACGUGACACAAAGCAAGGCAAAGCACUUCCCAGAAUGACUGUGACCAGAAUGGCUGGGCACAGAAUUGAGGAUAUGAAAGGCAUGUGGGGUUUCAUAAAUUGCCCUUCAGCCAGUUCAGAUGGCACCUGCUCAAUAGCCAUGCCUGAUUCCUGGAGAUCGGACUUAAUUCUUUCCACACAAUGCUACUGUUCUAGUAACAAUCAGGGCUCUUUUCAGUUGCAAGUGGCCCACUUUUUAAAAAUAUCCAAGGUAAAAAGGCUUCAGGCAGAGAUGGAAGCAGAUGUUCAACGAUGUCAUCAGGGCCCGGACUCCUUCAGUUACUGGCCUCCAGACCAGCCUCCCACUAAGCAGAACCAUUAUGGAGUCUGUUUAUAACAGCGCCAUUAAAAAUGAAGAGCUGUCAAGAAUCCCUUAUAAUGAUGUUGGAAACCGUAUUCGCAAAGAUUUUUUAAUGACUAGAUGGUUUUUAAAAGGCAAUAGAACACUUUUAAUGAACCCUAAUGUAAUAAAUCAAUCACAGUUUCUCUGACUUGACUACACUGUCUUUAUAUUUCUUGCAACUUAUGGAAAACCACACCAUUAAUUCUUUCCUAAUUUCCCUAUCCCGCACCAUACUCCUGCAAAGCUCAAGCGGACAUCUAGGUAAAGCAUAUUUAUAUUUUGAGAGAUCUAGGUUUGCUAUGAACAUUGUUUACCAAACUCAAUCUUGAAGUUACCUAUUGGAACAUGGGCUCUUUUAAAUUUUAUUUUUGGUGUUUGCUCUUUUGAGGGUCUAGUAUUAACUAGAACAUCCUAAUCACAGGCAAAAGAAACUAAGUCCAACUAACUUAAGAAGAGAAAAUUUAUUGGAAGGAUAUCAGAAGCUCACAGAAUUGUUGAGAGCUUUGAGCUUGAUUAGAAAUGGACAGGAACCAGGACAACUCUGAAGGGCUGGAAAAUAGGAAUUACAGAAAGUAUCUUGUAGAACACAGUGGCCAGAAACUACUACCACCUCCACCCACGAAAAUACCUCUCUCCUGGUUUCACUCUCUCCUGAC